rnacentral:rRNA from 1 species
CCAAGGCUUUGAUCGGUAGCCGGACUGAGAGGUUGGCCGGCCACACUGGAACUGAGACACGGUCCAGACUCCUACGGGAGGCAGCAGUGGGGAAUCUUGCACAAUGGACGAAAGUCUGGUGCAGCAACGCCGCGUGGGGGAUGAAGCUUCUCGGAGUGUAAACCCCUUUCGACCCGGAAGAAUGCCCGCAAGGGUUUGACGGUACGGGUAUAAGAAGCCCCGGCUAACUACGUGCCAGCAGCCGCGGUAAUACGUAGGGGGCCAGCGUUGCUCGGAAUUACUGGGCGUAAAGGGUCUGUAGGCGGUGCGGCAAGUCGAUAGUGAAAUCCCUAGGCUUAACCUAGGGGCUGCUAGCGAAACUGCCGUGCUAGAGUGUGAGAGAGGCGAGUGGAAUUACGGGUGUAGCGGUGAAAUGCGUAGAUAUCCGUAGGAACAUCCGAGGCGAAAGCGGUUCGCUGGAUCACAACUGACGCUGAGGGACGAAAGCUAGGGGAGCAAACAGGAUUAGAUACCCUGGUAGUCCUAGCCCUAAACCAUCAGGACUUGGGGUUUGCCCUGUACGGGGCAAGUCCCGUAGCUAACGCGUUAAGUCCUGCGCCUGGGGAGUACGGUCGCAAGGCUGAAACUCAAAGGAAUGACGAAGCG